GACGAACGCUGGCGGCGUGCUUAACACAUGCAAGUCGAACGGAAAGGCCCUGCUUUUGUGGGGUGCUCGAGUGGCGAACGGGUAAGUAACACGUGAGUAACCUGCCCCUGACUUUGGGAUAACUUCAGGAAACUGGGGCUCAUACCGGAUAGGAGCUCCUGCUGCAUGGUGGGGGUUGGAAAGUUUCGGCGGUUGGGGAUGGACUCGCGGCUCAUCAGCUUGUUGGUGGGGUAGUGGCUUACCAAGGCUUUGACGGGUAGCCGGCCUGAGAGGGUGACCGGCCACACUGGGACUGAGAUACGGCCCAGACUCCUACGGGAGGCAGCAGUGGGGAAUAUUGCACAAUGGGCGGAAGCCUGAUGCAGCAACGCCGCGUGCGGGAUGACGGCCUUCGGGUUGUAAACCGCUUUCGCCUGUGACGAAGCGAGAGUGACGGUAAUGGGUGAAGAAGCACCGGCUAACUACGUG
rnacentral:rRNA from 1 species